GUCAGUGCAUCAGCAAAUCAUUGGUUUGCAAUGGGGAUUCUGACUGUGAUGAAGACAGUGCUGAUGAAGACAGAUGUGAGGACUCAGAAAGGAGAACUUCCUGUGAUAUCGAUAAACCUCCUCCUAACAUAGAACUUACUGGAAAUGGAUUCAAUUCAAAACCAGCUGUUGCCAUAGAUACGAAAGAGCCAUGUGUUUCCCAAAUAUGUUCUUAGAUGGAAAGAAUGUUGGAUUUUCUGAGCCAUUAGUUUUAGUGAUUAUACCAAGCAGGGGAAGCUGGAUAAUGUAUGGUGUGUAUUAGGAUGCUGUGCUCUUCAUUUGAACUCUCUCAAAGAAGUGUUUAAGUGUAAUGCAUUUUAAGAAUUUGUAGAGUUCUGUAAUAAAUUUUUUUCCCCACC
rnacentral:sRNA from 1 species